CCUACGGGAGGCAGCAGUGGGGAAUAUUGCACAAUGGGCGGAAGCCUGAUGCAGCAACGCCGCGUGCGGGAUGACGGCCUUCGGGUUGUAAACCGCUUUCGCCUGUGACGAAGCGUGAGUGACGGUAAUGGGUAAAGAAGCACCGGCUAACUACGUGCCAGCAGCCGCGGUGAUACGUAGGGUGCGAGCGUUGUCCGGAUUUAUUGGGCGUAAAGGGCUCGUAGGUGGUUGAUCGCGUCGGAAGUGUAAUCUUGGGGCUUAACCCUGAGCGUGCUUUCGAUACGGGUUGACUUGAGGAAGGUAGGGGAGAAUGGAAUUCCUGGUGGAGCGGUGGAAUGCGCAGAUAUCAGGAGGAACACCAGUGGCGAAGGCGGUUCUCUGGGCCUUUCCUGACGCUGAGGAGCGAAAGCGUGGGGAGCGAACAGGAUUAGAUACCCUGGUAGU
rnacentral:rRNA from 1 species